rnacentral:misc_RNA from 1 species
UCUCCGUAGGUGAACCAGCGGAGGGAUCAUUACAGAGUUCUCGCCCUCGCGGGUAGUGCUCCCACCCACUGUGAUCGUUACUGUGUUGCUUUGGCGGGCCGCCGGGCCCCGCUCGGCCGCCGGUUCCUGCUGGCGCGCGCCCGCCAGAGGCCCAGUAAACUCUGAAUGUUAGUGUCUGCUGUGUACUAUAUAAUAGUUAAAACUUUCAACAACGGAUCCCUUGGUUCUG